CGAAUCCCUCACCUCAUCCAUAUGUGUAAAAGACACUAGCCGCACUUAAAAGCCGAGUACUCUACCGUUGAGUUAGCAACCCGAAGAAAAUAUCGAAAAAAUUAUGUAGAUCCAAUCCGAAGAAAAAGAAAUAACUAGAUUAGACAAGACAACCAAAAACCAUUGAAAGAAGAAAUCGAAAAAAAUACAUUCACACUUUCGAAUUCAUUUAAAACAUAAAAUAAAACUAAAUAGAUCCACUUCAUUUAUCACAAUGAAUUAUAUUUGUUCGAUACACUGUUGUCAAUAUAAAUAUUGAAUAUUGAAAAAAAAAAGUGGAAAACAAAACUACAAUUUACUUAAAUUUACUUAGAUUUAUUGAAUUCAUAAUGGAUUCAAUCAAGUUAACUGAGAUAAGCAAACUUGAUUUCAUUCCGAAAUGCCCGAAUUAACUAUUUAGAAGAUCAAUAAAAUAAGAGGUUUUGUCGUUAUAGAACACGGAAUUCACUGGAAGCAAUGAUAAAUAAAUACAAAUAGAAAAGGAAAGGGAGGAAAUACAAAAAAAUAGAAGAGAAAAGUCAUACAAAGUUAUAUACAAAUCACUACCCCCUUUUUGUAUUUCCUUAAUUUAUUUCCUUAAUUGAAUUUCGGUUGAUUAAGACGAAGUUCCUUAAAAACCUCUGCCUUCUUUAAAAUAUCCUGAACAGUUUCUGUAGGUUGAGCCCCUUUUUCAAGGAAAUAUAAAAUAGCAGGAACAUUUAAAUAAGUUUGAUUCUUUAUCGGAUCAUAAAAACCCACUUUCUGAAGAUCUUUUCCUUCUCUUCGGGAUCGAACAUCAAUUGCAACGAUUCGAUAGACGGCUCAUUGGGAUAGAUGUAGAUGAACAACACCCCCCCUAGAAACGUAUAGGAAGCUUUCUCCUCGUACGGCUCGAGAAAAAUGAUUGAUUCGAAGUUUUGUCUUUGUAUGGAAUUCUAUCUAAGAAAUGACAACUGGAUCCAUAAAAUGAUCAAAGCAAUUAAAGAUCUAAGUCUUUUUUUCUUCGUUCUUCCUUAAAAUGAAAAAUAAACCAUUCGUACUCUCAUAACUCAAGUUGGAUAACUUUCAAACAGUUCAAAGGAAAAUCUUUCGGCAAUUUCAUUUAUUGAGCGGUCUUUCCUCCUUUUUUGUUUGUCUCGUUUAAAAUCGGAUUCUUCAGUCUGAUCCAGUUAUUAAGACAAUUAAAAAGGUGUUUCCUUGUUCUGGGAUCCUUUAUCUUUGUUUUAUUUUAAAUCAUUGGGUUUAGACAUUACUUCGGUGCUUUUUAAUCCUUUCAAAAUGGCAGCAACAUACCCUUUUUGCGAUUUUUAUGAAAGAAUCCUACAAGAUGAUGGAUUCCCUCGUGAAACACUUUGGAUCGAAAAAGUUUGAUCAAUUCCAAUAAAUUUUUUAAUUUGAAACUUGCUCGAAUUGGAUUCUUUCGAUUUCCAUACCUAAGAUAUAUUAGAUAUAUUUACGAAGUUGUUUCAAUUGUUUUAUUGAUUGGCAUUAACCCUAGACCCUUGCCCCGAGAAAGAAAUUAAUACUUUCUACUCGAGCUCCAUCAUGGACUAUUUACAUUCCAAGACAACAAAAAACGAGGGGUUCUAGUGAAACAGAACCAAUGAUGUCGAGUUAAGAGCACCUUCAUUCCUACAAAAAAUGGUGGAUGUACAAAUCCACAACGGAUCGUGUCCUUCAAGUCGCACGUUGCUUUCUACCACAUCGUUUCAAACGAAGUUUUACCAUAACAUUCCUCUAAGAACCGGUAUGGAAUUGAUUCAAUUAUGGAAUCAUGAAUAGUCAUUGGUUGGGCUGAUGUAUAAACACCAUAAUCUAAAGUAUUUUCUAUAU
rnacentral:lncRNA from 1 species